rnacentral:rRNA from 1 species
GACGGAGGAUGCAAGUGUUAUCCGGAAUCACUGGGCGUAAAGCGUCUGUAGGUGGUCAAAUAAGUCAACUGUUAAAUCUUGAGGCUCAACCUCAAAAUCGCAGUCGAAACUAUUAGACUAGAGUAUAGUAGGGGUAAAGGGAAUUUCCAGUGGAGCGGUGAAAUGACGUAGAGAUUGGAAAGAACACCGAUGGCGAAGGCACUUUACUGGGCUAUUACUAACACUCAGAGACGAAAGCUAGGGUAAGCAAAUGGGAU